rnacentral:piRNA from 1 species
UCAGCAUAUAUUCGAAUUUGA